ACCUGCGGAGGGAUCAUUACUGAGUUUACGCUCUAUAACCCUUUGUGAACAUACCUAUAACUGUUGCUUCGGCGGGUAGGGUCUCCGUGACCCUCCCGGCCUCCCGCCCCCGGGCGGGUCGGCGCCCGCCGGAGGAUAACCAAACUCUGAUUUAACGACGUUUCUUCUGAGUGGUACAAGCAAAUAAUCAAAACUUUUAACAACGGAUCUCUUGGUUCUGGCAUCGAUGAAGAACGCAGCGAAAUGCGAUAAGUAAUGUGAAUUGCAGAAUUCAGUGAAUCAUCGAAUCUUUGAACGCACAUUGCGCCCGCCAGCAUUCUGGCGGGCAUGCCUGUUCGAGCGUCAUUUCAACCCUCAAGCUCUGCUUGGUGUUGGGGCCCUACAGCUGAUGUAGGCCCUCAAAGGUAGUGGCGGACCCUCCCGGAGCCUCCUUUGCGUAGUAACUUUACGUCUCGCACUGGGAUCCGGAGGGACUCUUGCCGUAAAACCCCCAAUUCUCCAAAGGUUGACCUCGGAUCAGGUAGGAAUACCCGCUGAACUUAAGCAUAUCAAUAAGGCGGAGGA
rnacentral:rRNA from 1 species